rnacentral:pre_miRNA from 1 species
GAUAAAAAAACGGACGAACACAACAAAAUCUCAAACACAGCUCAAAGCUGUGUUUGAGAUUUUGUUGUGUUCGUCCGUUUUUUUAUCGUU